rnacentral:tRNA from 1 species
AGGGCUUUAGCUCAGCAGUACAGCACUUGUCUGGCAUGCAUGAGGCCCUGGGUUUGAAUCUCAGCAGCACAA